rnacentral:lncRNA from 1 species
AAUUUUUCUAUCUGUGAUGGAAGUUUUUAUGUACGAUUGCCUGAUCUGAAGACAAGACUUUCGCUGCAUGCAUAUUUAAUGUAUGACGUCACCCACACAGAGUGAGAGCUCGAGGUUUUCUUUGAAAGUUUGAUGGAAAAUGUACAGAGACUUGUUGCAGUUAAUGCAGUACCAAAUGCUUGCUUUCUUGGAGUAUGUGCUUGAAACAAGAAUGUCCUGGAGAAAAUAGACCACCACAAGAGAAGGGAUUGAGAAGGAGGGCUUCCUGUUGACAGAUCAGGGGGUGCCUUGAGGUUCCACUCUUGAUGUUCUGCCCCUUACCUGAAAGCGAUGGCCUCUUGUACCUGACAUAUUAGGAGCAAAGCACAAUGGACUGCUGGCUUAUUGGAAUUGGUUACAAAGAUACAAGUGGACUUGUCUGUAGUAGUUGCUGAAGAGGAGCAGUCAGCACAAGGAGCGUGUGCCUCCAAAACAACGUGGAAACUUCUCCCAAGUUCAUCUCAAAUCACAAGGCUCUUCAGGAAUCAAGAUGUAACAAUGGAGGUUGAGAAGGAGUUUGCGACCCUCCUGAUUUGGACUACUCGCUAUAUACAUUCUCAAACAAUGGAUUGUAGUACUUCUGCACAAAAGUCAACAAGUCAUGAUUGAGGAAAAUGCAACAAAUACUCAGUUGAGCAUUGAUUUAUGUGACUGGUAUUAGGGUAGGAUUCAGCUUGGUAAUUUUAUAUAAACUAUGUCCCAAAAGAACCUCAUUGGUCCUUAUGGUUCCACGCCACAAGCUGCUCCCUCCCCUGUUUCGGUAUACCGAACCCAGACUAUCAAGGGAUCAAAUGAAUUAAAAUCCACACUUGAUUACAAAUGAA